UACGAGGGGUGCAAGCGUUGCUCGGAAUUAUUGGGCGUAAAGGGUAGGUAGGUGGUCUCAUUUGUCUGGGGUGAAAGCCUUGAGCUUAACUCAAGAAGUGCCCCAGAAACGGUGAGACUGGAGUCUCAGAGAGGGUCGUGGAAUUCCCGGUGUAGCGGUGAAAUGCGUAGAGAUCGGGAGGAACACCAGAGGCGAAAGCGGCGACCUGGAUGAGCACUGACACUCAACUACGAAAGCGUGGGGAGCAAACAGG
rnacentral:rRNA from 1 species